rnacentral:rRNA from 1 species
GAUGAACGCUGGCGGCGUGCCUAAUACAUGCAAGUCGAGCGAACAGACGAGGAGCUUGCUCCUCUGACGUUAGCGGCGGACGGGUGAGUAACACGUGGAUAACCUACCUAUAAGACUGGGAUAACUUCGGGAAACCGGAGCUAAUCCCGGAUAAUAUAUUGAACCACAUGGUUCAAUAGUGAAAGACGGUUUUGCUGUCACUUAUAGAUGGAUCCGCGCCGCAUUAGCUAGUUGGUAAGGUAAAGGCUUACCAAGGCAACGAUGCGUAGCCGACCUGAGAGGGUGAUCGGCCACACUGGAACUGAGACACGGUCCAGACUCCUACGGGAGGCAGCAGUAGGGAAUCGGCCGCAAUGGGCGAAAGCCUGACGGAGCAACGGCGCGUGAGUGAUGAAGGUCUUCGGAUCGGAAAACUCUGUUAUGAGGGAAGAACAAAUGUGUAAGGAACUAUGCACUGCUUGACGGUACCUAAUCAGAAAGCCACGGCUAACUACGUG